rnacentral:rRNA from 1 species
UACGAAGGGGGCUAGCGUUGCUCGGAAUUACUGGGCGUAAAGCGCACGUAGGCGGAUUGUUAAGUCGGGGGUGAAAUCCUGGAGCUCAACUCCAGAACUGCCUUCGAUACUGGCGAUCUUGAGUCCGGAAGAGGUGAGUGGAACUCCUAGUGUAGAGGUGGAAUUCGUAGAUAUUAGGAAGAACACCAGUGGCGAAGGCGGCUCACUGGUCCGGUACUGACGCUGAGGUGCGAAAGCGUGGGGAGCAAACAGG